UGAGGAGGGAAAGUCAGUGUGUCAGUGUGACACGUCACGUGGAUAUGCGGGAGACGAUUUUCAAAUAUGUACCAAAUGUUCAAAAUGUCCUCCCGGAAUGGAGUUAAAAAUAGCCGGAAGUUGCGACCAUUGUCCGCCAGGUACAUUCAAACCACUUGAAGGAUAUGGACCGUGCAAACCAUUUACAGAUUGUGAAAUGGAAAACAAGGAAAUUCGUACACCUGGGAAUACAACGACAGAUGUUCAGUGCGGAGAACUACUCAGUACUACGCCAGCUGUAAGUACGACAACCCAGUUAUCGACGUCAUCAC